UGGCUUGGAAGCAGCCAUUCAUUUAAAGAGUGCGUAACAGCUCACUAGUCGAGCGAUCUGGCGUGGAUAAUAAUCGGGCAUAAACGAUCUGCCGAAGCCGUGGAUGUCGUAAGACAUGGUAGGGGAGCAUUCCAUGCGGCGUCGAAGAUGAGGGAUGACCCUUGUUGGAGCGCAUGGAAAAGCAAAUGUAGGUAUGAGUAACGAUAAGGGGGGCGAGAAACCCCCCCGCCGAAAGACCAAGGUUUCCUGAUCAACGCUAAUCGGAUCAGGGUGAGUCGGGACCUAAGGCAAAGCCGAACGGCGCCGCCGAUGGAAGAAUGGGUUAAUAUUCCCAUACUGCCUCAUGGAGUGACGUGGAGACGGAGAAGUGACAGUCCUGCCGGCUGACGGAAUAGCCGGUUGAAGGGUGUAGAUAUUGAUUCCCGUAGGCAAAUCCGCGGGGAGAGUCGAACCUGACAGUAUACCGAGUACUUGUACGAGGUAAUAUGGACGUAACCAUGCUCCCAAGAAAAUCCGCUAAACUUAUCCAUGCGGCACCCGUACCGUAAACGGACACACGUGGUCGGGUUGAGAAUACUGAGGCGCUCGAGUGACUCACGGUUAAGGAACUAGGCAAAUUGACCCUGUAACUUCGGGAUAAAGGGUCCUCGUCGUAAGGCGAGGCGCAGAGAAUAGGUCCAGGCAACUGUUUAACAAAAACACAUGGCUAUGCUAAAUGGAAACAUGACGUAUAUAGCCUGACACCUGCCCGGUGCUGGAAGGUUAAGAGGAGAUGUCAUCGCAAGAGAAGCGUUGAAUUGAAGCCCCAGUAAACGGCGGCCGUAACUAUAACGGUCCUAAGGUAGCGAAAUUCCUUGUCGGGUAAGUUCCGACCUGCACGAAUGGUGUAAUGAUCCGGACGCUGUCUCAACCAUGAGCUCAGUGAAAUUGUAGUAUCGGUGAAGAUGCCGAUUACCCGCGAUGGGACGAAAAGACCCCGUGAACCUUUACUAUAGCUUUACAUUGAAUUUGGGCAAUCGAUGUGUAGGAUAGGCCGGAGACAUUGAAUCAGGUACGCCAGUAUUUGUGGAGUCGCCGUUGAAAUACGGCCCUUUGGUUGUUUGAGUUCUAACCCGCAGAAGCGGGGACACUGUAUGGUGGGUAGUUUGACUGGGGUGGUCGCCUCCAAAAGAGUAACGGAGGCUUCUAAAGGUGCCCUCAGACCGAUUGGUAACCGGUCGCAGAGUG
rnacentral:rRNA from 1 species